CGUACAGGCGGCCAUAUAAGUCGGAUGUGAAAUCCUUGGGCUUAACCUGAGGACUGCAUCUGAUACUGUAUGGCUUGAGAUCAGGAGAGGAGAGUGGAAUAUGUGGUGUAGCGGUGAAAUGCGUAGAUAUCACAUAGAACACCGGUGGCGAAGGCGGCUCUCUGGCCUGAUUCUGACGCUGACGCGCGAAAGUUAGGGUAGCGAACG
rnacentral:rRNA from 1 species